rnacentral:rRNA from 1 species
GACGAACGCUGGCGGCGUGCCUAAUACAUGCAAGUCGAGCGGACGGAUGGGAGCUUGCUCCCAGACCGUCAGCGGCGGACGGGUGAGUAACACGUUGGCAACCUGCCUGUAAGACUGGGAUAACUCCGGGAAACCGGGGCUAAUACCGGAUAACUCUUUCCCUCACAUGAGGGAAAGCUGAAAGAUGGCAUCUCCCUAUCACUUACAGAUGGGCCCGCGGCGCAUUAGCUAGUUGGUGAGGUAACGGCUCACCAAGGCGACGAUGCGUAGCCGACCUGAGAGGGUGAUCGGCCACACUGGAACUGAGACACGGCCCAGACUCCUACGGGAGGCAGCAGUAGGGAAUCUUCCGCAAUGGGCGAAAGUCUGACGGAGCAACGCCGCGUGAGUGAUGAAGGUUUUCGGAUCGUAAAACUCUGUUGUCAGGGAAGAACAAGUACCGGAGUAACUGCCGGUACCUUGACGGUACCUGACCAGAAAGCCACGGCUAACUACGUG